rnacentral:rRNA from 1 species
AUCCCAUAAAGCCGGUCUCAGUUCGGAUCGCAGUCUGCAACUCGACUGCGUGAAGUCGGAGUCGCUAGUAAUCCCCGAAUCAGCACGUCGGGUGAAUACGUUCCCGGGCCUUGUACACACCGCCCGUCACACCACGAAAGUCGGCAACACCCGAAGCCGGUGGCCCCAACCAGUAAUGGAGGGAGCCGUCGAAGGUGGGGUCGGUGAUUGGGGUGAAGUCGUAACAAGGUAGCCGUACCGGAAGGUGCGGCUGGAUCACCGUCCUUUCUAAGGAGCACACGCCAACCCAUCCGACACAGCUACAUACCGUAGUUGUCGGUGAUGGUGAGGCUGUCUCAAAGAAACGUGUCGAAGCCUGGCAUCCCUCUUCAGCUANAAUGCGUUUGUAUGCAUCUUGAGAAUGAAAG